rnacentral:sRNA from 1 species
CUAAAUUCUAAAUUCUAUCUUCUAUAUCCCAACACCUCAUUCUAACACUCAAACACUCAUCAAUGACCUGUCCCCCCAUCUUACUCAGUUAUCAUUGGCCCUACAUCUUCACACUGUUCCAUCACCUUUUUACAAAACCCUGUAGUCCUCCAAUAACCAUUUUCUCUCCAAAAAACCCCACCUUCUCUAUUGCCAAAUCCAACGAAACUGUUCUAAAGGUCCAAGGUAAAUGUAGAAAAGAGACAGAGACACCCACAUCUCAUGCAUCUGAAUCCCCCAUAUGGCUCAAGCCUUUCAGCAAGCAGGCAUGGAGGGGAUGCAGAGUCAAAUGAAGUCCUCUUCUUUUUCUUCUUUUUUCACUUGUCUUUCAUUCCUGUGUUUUUGAGCAUUGACCAAGAUUGGUGUCCAAGAGGAUUGAGUGGGGUGAUAAUGAAUAGUUGGGUGACUGAUCGAUUUGAUGUGAUGCGAUGUAAUGUAGAAAGGAUACUUCAUCUGAGUCCAUCUUUCGAAUGAACCCCUGAGAUGAUGAACAUGUAAGGUCCUGAUCAAUAAGACCUUCACUGAGUGACUGGAGGGAGCGAGGUGAUAGAGGUGUGGGGCUGGUUCGGGCUGGUGAGCCUUUAGGAUGUGGACUUCAAGCUGGACAAGAAGCAAACAAGAUCCCAAUAUGCAUAUGCUGAUUAUGUC